rnacentral:misc_RNA from 1 species
UGGAUUUUUUUUUUCUAUUGUUUAGAUUUCAAGUGUGGCCAAAUUAUAGAUAUAUUAUCAUGUGAAGACCUUUAAUCCCCAUUUUAUUAAAGGGGAUGGUUUCUAUAACUUCGUCAUCCUAGGAACUGCUAUUCUUUGUUCAUUUUAUAAAUGAGCUGAAGCUCUAAACUUAACGAAUAAGAAUUCCUGCCUAGUUUGCCUAAUUCUAAGCAUGGAAAUUUAGCCUGUUUGC